rnacentral:rRNA from 1 species
GACGAACGCUGGCGGCGUGCCUAAUACAUGCAAGUCGAACGCUUCUUUCCUCCCGAGUGCUUGCACUCUAUUUGACAGAGGAGAGGCGGACGGGUUAGUAACACGUGGGUAACCUACCCAUCAGAGAGGGAUAACACUCGGAAACAGGUGCUAAUACCGCAUAACAGUUUAUGCCGCAUGGCAUAAGAGUGAAAGGCGCUUUCGGGUGUCGUUGAUGGAUGGACCCGGGGUGCAUUAGCUAGUUGGUGAGGUAACGGCUCACCAAGGACACGAUGCAUAGCGGACAUGAGGGGGUGAUCCGCCACCUGGGGAGUGAGAAAGAGCCGAGACUCCUGGGGGAGGAAGCAGUAGGGAAUCUUCGGCGAUGGACGAAAGUCUGACCGAGCAACGCGGCGUGAGUGAAGAAGGUGUUCGGAUCGUAGAGCUAUGUUGUUAGAGGAGAACAAGGACGUUAGUAACUGAGCGUACACUGACGGUACCUAACGAGAAAGCCACGGCUAACUACGUG